CAAAUCUUAGCGGUGGAUCACUCGGUUCGUGGAUCGAUGAAGAACGCAGCUAGCUGCGAUAAAUAGUGCGAAUUGCAGACACAUUGAGCACUAAAAAUUCGAACGCACAUUGCGCCAUCGGGUUCAUUCCCGUUGGCACGUCUGGCUGAGGGUUGA
rnacentral:rRNA from 1 species